rnacentral:rRNA from 1 species
ACUAAGCGUACACGGUGGAUGCCCUGGCAGUCAGAGGCGAUGAAGGACGUGCUAAUCUGCGAUAAGCGUCGGUAAGGUGAUAUGAACCGUUAUAACCGGCGAUUUCCGAAUGGGGAAACCCAGUGUGUUUCGACACACUAUCAUUAACUGAAUCCAUAGGUUAAUGAGGCGAACCGGGGGAACUGAAACAUCUAAGUACCCCGAGGAAAAGAAAUCAACCGAGAUUCCCCCAGUAGCGGCGAGCGAACGGGGAGCAGCCCAGAGCCUGAAUCAGUAUGUGUGUUAGUGGAAGCGUCUGGAAAGGCGCGCGAUACAGGGUGACAGCCCCGUACACAAAAAUGCACAUGCUGUGAGCUCGAUGAGUAGGGCGGGACACGUGGUAUCCUGUCUGAAUAUGGGGGGACCAUCCUCCAAGGCUAAAUACUCCUGACUGACCGAUAGUGAACCAGUACCGUGAGGGAAAGGCGAAAAGAACCCCGGCGAGGGGAGUGAAAAAGAACCUGAAACCGUGUACGUACAAGCAGUGGGAGCACGCUUAGGCGUGUGACUGCGUACCUUUUGUAUAAUGGGUCAGCGACUUAUAUUCUGUAGCAAGGUUAACCGAAUAGGGGAGCCGAAGGGAAACCGAGUCUUAACUGGGCGUUAAGUUGCAGGGUAUAGACCCGAAACCCGGUGAUCUAGCCAUGGGCAGGUUGAAGGUUGGGUAACACUAACUGGAGGACCGAACCGACUAAUGUUGAAAAAUUAGCGGAUGACUUGUGGCUGGGGGUGAAAGGCCAAUCAAACCGGGAGAUAGCUGGUUCUCCCCGAAAGCUAUUUAGGUAGCGCCUCGUGAAUUCAUCUCCGGGGGUAGAGCACUGUUUCGGCAAGGGGGUCAUCCCGACUUACCAACCCGAUGCAAACUGCGAAUACCGGAGAAUGUUAUCACGGGAGACACACGGCGGGUGCUAACGUCCGUCGUGAAGAGGGAAACAACCCAGACCGCCAGCUAAGGUCCCAAAGUCAUGGUUAAGUGGGAAACGAUGUGGGAAGGCCCAGACAGCCAGGAUGUUGGCUUAGAAGCAGCCAUCAUUUAAAGAAAGCGUAAUAGCUCACUGGUCGAGUCGGCCUGCGCGGAAGAUGUAACGGGGCUAAACCAUGCACCGAAGCUGCGGCAGCGACACUAUGUGUUGUUGGGUAGGGGAGCGUUCUGUAAGCCUGUGAAGGUGUGCUGUGAGGCAUGCUGGAGGUAUCAGAAGUGCGAAUGCUGACAUAAGUAACGAUAAAGCGGGUGAAAAGCCCGCUCGCCGGAAGACCAAGGGUUCCUGUCCAACGUUAAUCGGGGCAGGGUGAGUCGACCCCUAAGGCGAGGCCGAAAGGCGUAGUCGAUGGGAAACAGGUUAAUAUUCCUGUACUUGGUGUUACUGCGAAGGGGGGACGGAGAAGGCUAUGUUGGCCGGGCGACGGUUGUCCCGGUUUAAGCGUGUAGGCUGGUUUUCCAGGCAAAUCCGGAAAAUCAAGGCUGAGGCGUGAUGACGAGGCACUACGGUGCUGAAGCAACAAAUGCCCUGCUUCCAGGAAAAGCCUCUAAGCAUCAGGUAACAUCAAAUCGUACCCCAAACCGACACAGGUGGUCAGGUAGAGAAUACCAAGGCGCUUGAGAGAACUCGGGUGAAGGAACUAGGCAAAAUGGUGCCGUAACUUCGGGAGAAGGCACGCUGAUAUGUAGGUGAAGUCCCUCGCGGAUGGAGCUGAAAUCAGUCGAAGAUACCAGCUGGCUGCAACUGUUUAUUAAAAACACAGCACUGUGCAAACACGAAAGUGGACGUAUACGGUGUGACGCCUGCCCGGUGCCGGAAGGUUAAUUGAUGGGGUUAGCCGCAAGGCGAAGCUCUUGAUCGAAGCCCCGGUAAACGGCGGCCGUAACUAUAACGGUCCUAAGGUAGCGAAAUUCCUUGUCGGGUAAGUUCCGACCUGCACGAAUGGCGUAAUGAUGGCCAGGCUGUCUCCACCCGAGACUCAGUGAAAUUGAACUCGCUGUGAAGAUGCAGUGUACCCGCGGCAAGACGGAAAGACCCCGUGAACCUUUACUAUAGCUUGACACUGAACAUUGAGCCUUGAUGUGUAGGAUAGGUGGGAGGCUUAGAAGUGUGGACGCCAGUCUGCAUGGAGCCGACCUUGAAAUACCACCCUUUAAUGUUUGAUGUUCUAACGUUGACCCGUAAUCCGGGUUGCGGACAGUGUCUGGUGGGUAGUUUGACUGGGGCGGUCUCCUCCUAAAGAGUAACGGAGGAGCACGAAGGUUGGCUAAUCCUGGUCGGACAUCAGGAGGUUAGUGCAAUGGCAUAAGCCAGCUUGACUGCGAGCGUGACGGCGCGAGCAGGUGCGAAAGCAGGUCAUAGUGAUCCGGUGGUUCUGAAUGGAAGGGCCAUCGCUCAACGGAUAAAAGGUACUCCGGGGAUAACAGGCUGAUACCGCCCAAGAGUUCAUAUCGACGGCGGUGUUUGGCACCUCGAUGUCGGCUCAUCACAUCCUGGGGCUGAAGUAGGUCCCAAGGGUAUGGCUGUUCGCCAUUUAAAGUGGUACGCGAGCUGGGUUUAGAACGUCGUGAGACAGUUCGGUCCCUAUCUGCCGUGGGCGCUGGAGAACUGAGGGGGGCUGCUCCUAGUACGAGAGGACCGGAGUGGACGCAUCACUGGUGUUCGGGUUGUCAUGCCAAUGGCACUGCCCGGUAGCUAAAUGCGGAAGAGAUAAGUGCUGAAAGCAUCUAAGCACGAAACUUGCCCCGAGAUGAGUUCUCCCUGACUCCUUGAGAGUCCUGAAGGAACGUUGAAGACGACGACGUUGAUAGGCCGGGUGUGUAAGCGCAGCGAUGCGUUGAGCUAACCGGUACUAAUGAACCGUGAGGCUUAACCUU